rnacentral:rRNA from 1 species
UACAGAGGUCUCAAGCGUUGUUCGGAUUUAUUGGGCGUAAAGGGUGCGUAGGUGGCGCGCUAAGUCAGGUGUGAAAUUUCGGAGCUUAACUCCGAAACUGCAUUUGAUACUGGUGUGCUUGAGGACUGGAGAGGAGACUGGAAUUUACGGUGUAGCAGUGAAAUGCGUAGAGAUCGUAAGGAAGACCAGUGGCGAAGGCGGGUCUCUGGACAGUUCCUGACACUGAGGCACGAAGGCCAGGGGAGCAAACGGG